UACGGAAGGCAGCAGUGGGGAAUAUUGCACAAUGGGCGAAAGCCUGAUGCAGCUAUGCCGCGUGUAUGAAGAAGGCCUUAGGGUUGUAAAGUACUUUCAUCGGGGAGGAAAAACAAAACUAAUAAUUUUAUUUCUUGACGUUACCCGAAAAAGAAGCACCGGCUAACUCCGUGCCAGCAGCCGCGGUAAUACGGAGGGUGCUAGCGUUAAUCAGAAUUACUGGGCGUAAAGAGCACGUAGGUGGUUUUUUUAAAGUCAGAUGUGAAAUCCCUGGGCUUAACCUAGGAACUGCAUUUUGAAACUGAAAUACUAGAGUAUCGUAGAGGGAGGUAGAAUUCUAGGUGUAGCGGUGAAAUGCGUAGAUAUCUGGAGGAAUACCUGUGGCGAAAGCGGCCUCCUAAACGAAUACUGACACUGAGGUGCGAAAGCU
rnacentral:rRNA from 1 species